UGCCGAAACCCAGGACCGAACCAGGGACCUUUAGAUCUUCAGUCUAACGCUUUCCCAACUGAGCUAUUUCGGU
rnacentral:tRNA from 1 species